CGCCUUUUGAUAAAUUAAUAUAAAAGGUCCUGCCUGCCCAGUGAUAUUAUUUUAACGGCCGCGGUAUUAUAACCGUGCAAAGGUAGCAUAAUCACUUGUCUUUUAAAUUAAGACCAGUAUGAAUGGCAAGACGAGAGCCUAACUGUCUCCUUAAGCUAGUCAAUGAAAUUGAUCUUCCCGUGCAGAAGCGAGAAUAUAAAUAUAAGACGAGAAGACCCUGUGGAGCUUAAAAAUAAGAUUAUAUAGUAAUAUUAUAAUAUUAAAUUUAGGUUGGGGCGACCAUGAGGUAAAACAUAACCCUCAAGACAAUAACCAGAAGGACACUUCAAACAAAGUAAAACUUAUAUAUUGACCCAAUAAUGAUCAACGAACCAAGUUACCCCAGGGAUAACAGCGCAAUCCAUUCUCAGAGCCCAUAUCUACGAAUGGGUUUACGACCUCGAUGUUGGAUCAGGACCCCCUAAUGGUGCAACAACUAUUAAAGGUUCGUUUGUUCAACGAUUAAAGUCCU
rnacentral:rRNA from 1 species